UAGGGAAUCUUCCGCAAUGGGCGAAAGCCUGACGGAGCAACGCCGCGUGAGUGAAGAAGGAUUUCGGUUCGUAAAGCUCUGUUGUUAGGGAAGAAUGAUUGUGUAGUAACUAUACACAGUAGAGACGGUACCUAACCAGAAAGCCACGGCUAACUACGUGCCAGCAGCCGCGGUAAUACGUAGGUCCCGAGCGUUGUCCGGAUUUAUUGGGCGUAAAGCGAGCGCAGGCGGUUAGAUAAGUCUGAAGUUAAAGGCUGUGGCUUAACCAUAGUACGCUUUGGAAACUGUUUAACUUGAGUGCAAGAGGGGAGAGUGGAAUUCCAUGUGUAGCGGUGAAAUGCGUAGAUAUAUGGAGGAACACCGGUGGCGAAAGCGGCUCUCUGGCUUGUAACUGACGCUGAGGCUCGAAAGCGUGGGGAGCAAACAGGAUUAGAUACCCUGGUAGUCCACGCCGUAACGAUGAGUGCUAGGUGUUAGACCCUUUCCGGGGUUUAGUGCCGUAGCUAACGCAUUAAGCACUCCGCCUGGGGAGUACGACCGCAAGGUUG
rnacentral:rRNA from 1 species